UGCGUAGGGUGCGAGCGUUAAUCGGAAUUACUGGGCGUAAAGCGUGCGCAGGCGGUUUUGUAAGUUUGUCGUGAAAGCCCCGGGCUCAACCUGGGAAUGGCGAUGAAGACUGCAAGGCUUGAAUCUGGCAGAGGGGGAUGGAAUUCCGCGUGUAGCAGUGAAAUGCGUAGAUAUGCGGAGGAACACCGAUGGCGAAGGCAAUCCCCUGGACCUGUACUGACGCUCAUGCACGAAAGCGUGGGGAGCAAACAGG
rnacentral:rRNA from 1 species